UACGGAGGAUGCAAGCGUUAACCGGAAUUAUUGGGCGUAAAGCGUCCGCAGGUGGCAAUUCAAGUCUGCUGUCAAAGGUUCUGGCUCAACCAGAGACAGGCAGUGGAAACUGAAUAGCUAGAGUGCGGUAGGGGCAGAGGGAAUUCCCAGUGUAGCGGUGAAAUGCGUAGAGAUUGGGAAGAACACCGGUGGCGAAAGCGCUCUGCUAGGCCGUAACUGACACUCAUGGACGAAAGCUAGGGGAGCGAAUGGG
rnacentral:rRNA from 1 species